AGAAUAUAUAAUUCAAAAAUUUAAAUUUUCGACUGCAUGUAACGAAGGCUGUUACAUGCAGUCGAAAAUUUAAAUUUUUGAAUUAUA